GACGAACGCUGGCGGCGUGCCUAACACAUGCAAGUCGAACGGAGAUACGAUUUCGGUUGUAUCUUAGUGGCGAACGGGUGAGUAACGCGUGAACAACCUGACUCUUAGAGGGGGAUAACACUCGGAAACGGGUGCUAAUACCGCAUAAGACCACGACCCGGCAUCGGGAUGAGGUCAAAGGAGCAAUCCGCUGAGAGAGGGGUUCGCGUCCCAUUAGAUAGAUGGCGGGGUAACGGCCCACCAUGUCGACGAUGGGUAGCCGAGCUGAGAGGCUGAUCGGCCACACUGGAACUGAGACACGGUCCAGACUCCUACGGGAGGCAGCAGUGGGGAAUAUUGGGCAAUGGGCGCAAGCCUGACCCAGCAACGCCGCGUGAGGGAAGAAGGCUUUCGGGUUGUAAACCUCUGUCCUUGGUGACGUAACAAAUGACGGUAGCCAAGGAGGAAGCCCCGGCUAACUACGUGCCAGCCGCCGCCGUAA
rnacentral:rRNA from 1 species